UACGUAGGGUGCAAGCGUUAAUCGGAAUUACUGGGCGUAAAGCGUGUGCAGGCGGCUUUGCAAGACAGAUGUGAAAUCCCCGGGCUUAACCUGGGAACUGCAUUUGUGACUGCAAGGCUAGAGUACGGUAGAGGGGGAUGGAAUUCCGCGUGUAGCAGUGAAAUGCGUAGAUAUGCGGAGGAACACCGAUGGCGAAGGCAAUCCCCUGGACCUGUACUGACGCUCAUGCACGAAAGCGUGGGGAGCAAACAGG
rnacentral:rRNA from 1 species